rnacentral:rRNA from 1 species
UACGAAGGGGGCUAGCGUUGUUCGGAAUUACUGGGCGUAAAGCGCACGUAGGCGGAUUUGUAAGUCAGGGGUGAAAUCCCGGGGCUCAACCUCGGAACUGCCUUUGAUACUGCAAGUCUCGAGUCCGAUAGAGGUGAGUGGAAUUCCUAGUGUGGAGGUGAAAUUCGUAGAUAUUAGGAAGAACACCAGUGGCGAAGGCGGCUCACUGGAUCGGUACUGACGCUGAGGUGCGAAAGCGUGGGGAGCAAACAGG